UUAUUGUUUGAUCCUGGCUCAGAUUGAACGCUGGCGGCAUGCCCUAACACAUGCAAGUCGAACGGCAGCACGGGGGCAACCCUGGUGGCGAGUGGCGAACGGGUGAGUAAUACAUCGGAACGUGUCCUGUAGUGGGGGAUAGCCCGGCGAAAGCCGGAUUAAUACCGCAUACGAUCUACGGAAGAAAGCGGGGGAUCGCAAGACCUCGCGCUAUAGGGGCGGCCGAUGGCAGAUUAGCUAGUUGGUGGGGUAAAGGCCUACCAAGGCGACGAUCUGUAGCUGGUCUGAGAGGACGACCAGCCACACUGGGACUGAGACACGGCCCAGACUCCUACGGGAGGCAGCAGUGGGGAAUUUUGGACAAUGGGGGAAACCCUGAUCCAGCAAUGCCGCGUGUGUGAAGAAGGCCUUCGGGUUGUAAAGCACUUUUGUCCGGAAAGAAAACUUCUGCCCUAAUACGGUGGGAGGAUGACGGUACCGGAAGAAUAAGCACCG
rnacentral:rRNA from 1 species